CCACCAAGUAGUCAUUCUGAGCGAGUUGUAGAGAGAAAAACCGACGAGAAGAAGCUCGAAGAGCACUGAGUACCAAGACUUUAAAUAUUCGAACAUCAAUCAGAAAUAUUAAGAGAAAACUCACGUCCAGUUGAUACAUUUUCG
ensembl:ncRNA ZK512.13 ncRNA